GACAAAGUCGACCUCAAAUCAGGUAGGAUUACCCGCUGAACUUAAGCAUAUCAAUAAGCGGAGGAA
rnacentral:rRNA from 1 species